rnacentral:rRNA from 1 species
AUUGAACGCUGGCGGCAGGCCUAACACAUGCAAGCCGAGCGGAUGAAGGGAGCUUGCUCCUGGAUUCAGCGGCGGACGGGUGAGUAAUGCCUAGGAAUCUGCCUGGUAGUGGGGGAUAACGUCCGGAAACGGGCGCUAGUACCGCAUACGUCCUGAGGGAGAAAGUGGGGGAUCUUCGGACCUCACGCUAUCAGAUGAGCCUAGGUCGGAUUAGCUAGUUGGUGGGGUAAAGGCCUACCAAGGCGACGAUCCGUAACUGGUCUGAGAGGAUGAUCAGUCACACUGGAACUGAGACACGGUCCAGACUCCUACGGGAGGCAGCAGUGGGGAAUAUUGGACAAUGGGCGAAAGCCUGAUCCAGCCAUGCCGCGUGUGUGAAGAAGGUCUUCGGAUUGUAAAGCACUUUAAGUUGGGAGGAAGGGCAGUAAGUUAAUACCUUGCUGUUUUGACGUUACCAACAGAAUAAGCACCGGCUAACUUCGUG